rnacentral:rRNA from 1 species
UACGGAGGAUCCAAGCGUUAUCCGGAUUUAUUGGGUUUAAAGGGUGCGUAGGCGGAUUGAUAAGUUAGAGGUGAAAUGUCCGAGCUCAACCGUAGUAAGCCUUUGAAACUGGGAAACUUGAGUGCAGGAGAGGAGAGUGGAAUUCCUAGUGUAGCGGUGAAAUGCGUAGAGAUUAGGAAGAACACCAGUGGCGAAGGCGGCUUCCUGGUCUGCAACUGACACUGAGGCGCGAAAGCGUGGGGAGCAAACAGG